AGAUGUAAUCUCUCUGAAGUUUUUGUCCAAUGUGUUCUAGCUUGGCUUAGCAUGUCAUUUUGAAUUACAGACAUUGUCACAGAAUGACAGAUAAGGUCCCCUGACCUGUCUCGGAUUCAACAGAGAAAUAUGGCUGUCCCUGGAGAAUGCUGUAGACAACUUUAGCACUGUUUCCAUAUGUAGGAUCAUCAGCAUCAGUUGCAGUGACUUGCACAACAAAGAUUAGAAAUGUGAUUCUUGCAGCUUAACCAUCCGUCGCUCUCUGACAAAGAAAUCAAAAUGACCUCCAUAAGAAUCAGAAACAAAGAAUCAAAUCCCGUCAACUUCUCUGGAAAAGACCCAAUAUUAAAAUUAUAUUUCAAGAAA